rnacentral:tRNA from 1 species
GGCCAGUUAGCUUAGCCGGCUAGAGUGUGGUGCUGAUAACACCAGGGUCGUGGGUUCAAUCCCCAUUCGGUCCC